rnacentral:rRNA from 1 species
CCGCCGCGGUAACACCCGCGGCUCGAGUGGUAGUCACUUUUAUUGAGCCUAAAGCGUUCGUAGCCGGUCCUGUAAAUCUUCAGAUAAAUUCUCCCGCUCAACGGGAGACCCUCUGAAUAGACUGUGGGACUAGGGACUGGGUGAGGUUGAAUGUACUUCUGGGGUAGGGGUAAAAUCCUGUAAUCCUGGAAGGACAACCGGUGGCGAAGGCGUUCAACUAGAACAGAUCCGACGGUGAGGAACGAGGGCUAGGGGAGCAAACCGGAUUAGAUACCCGGGUAGUCCUAGCUGUAAACACUGCCCACUUGGUGUUGCCUCUCCGUUGAGGGGAGGCAGUGCCGGAGCGAAGGUGUUAAGUGGGCCGCUUGGGGAGUAUGGUCGCAAGGCUGAAACUUAAAGGAAUUGGCGGGGGAGCACCGCAACGGGAGGAGCGUGCGGUUUAAUUGGAUUCAACGCCGGAAAACUCACCGGGAGCGACCUUUGGAUGAGAGUCAACCUGACGAGUUUACUCGAUAGAAGGAGAGGUGGUGCAUGGCCGUCGUCAGCUCGUACCGUAGGGCGUUCACUUAAGUGUGAUAACGAGCGAGACCCCCAUCUUUAAUUGCCAUGUUGUCUUUGCGGGCAACGGCACUUUAGAGGGACCGCCAGCGCUAAGCUGGAGGAAGGAGGGGUCGACGGCAGGUCAGUACGCCCCGAAUCUCCCGGGCUACACGCGCGCUACAAAGGACAGGACAAUGAGUUGCGACCUCGAAAGGGGUAGCUAACCUCGAAACCUGUUCGUAGUUAGGAUUGAGGGCUGUAACUCGCCCUCAUGAAUGUGGAUUCCGUAGUAAUCGCGGGUCAACAGCCCGCGGUGAAUAUGCCCCUGCUCCUUGCACACACCGCCCGUCAAACCAUCCGAGCUGGUGUUGGAUGAGGGUAUGCUCGAGAGAACAAACUCGAAUCUGAUGUCAGUGAGGAGGGUUAAGUCGUAACAAGGUAUCCGUAGGGGAACCUGCGGAUG